rnacentral:rRNA from 1 species
UACGGAGGGUGCAAGCGUUAAUCGGAAUUACUGGGCGUAAAGCGCACGCAGGUGGCUGAGUCAGUCGAUUGUGAAAGCCCUGGGCUUAACCUGGGAAUUGCAGUCGAUACUACUCAGCUAGAGUAUGGGAGAGGGUAGUGGAAUUCCCGGUGUAGCGGUGAAAUGCGUAGAUAUCGGGAGGAACAUCAGUGGCGAAGGCGGGUCUCUGGGCCGAUACUGACGCUGAGGAGCGAAAGCGUGGGGAGCGAACGGG